UUUUACAGAGAACCUUUAGGUUUUGAGUUUAAAGUGAUUUUAUUAAAUCUAAUGAUGGAAGUUCAGACCAUGGGAAGGAGAGAAAUCUGGGGACCCCAGGACUGCCUAGGCCCCAUCAAAUGACACAGACGAGUAGGCACAUGUCUUUGACAGUACAAUUUCCAGUGGAAGGGGAUCCUUCCUUCAGGUUCCCGACAAGCGAAACCUCUCUCCAAGAGCCAGCUGGGGACAUGGAGUGAUGCUGUCCCCGAGUCCGGGGAGUUGCAGACCGCCAACAGCUGGGCUUACAACGAUUUAGAAGAAUCAGCAGAAACAGACAAGCAUGCAAACAACAACAAAACUACCCGAGUGGACCUGAGGCCAUCAGCACCCAGGGCUCCUCUCCACAGCGAUGGACAUGUCCCGUCCUCGGAGGACACGAGGAGAAAUCAGCAGGCUGCGACCCAGAAGGGAGCUCUCACCAGAACCGGACCAGACCAACACCAUCUUGGGCCUGUAGCCUCCAGAAUGAUAUUCUGCACCACCACAGGAAAACAUCCUGGUGGAGAGUCCUGAGCUGCCCUCCCACCACCUGAUGAGCUGCCGUCACCCGGGGAGAAGGCUCAGCCCCAGAGACCAGGAUCAAAACCCCCAGCAGCAGGGAGACCCUGAAGAUCAGCACCUGGAGAAGCAGCGGGGAGAGGGGUUCACCUCCCAGGGCCAGGAAAGGCAUCCCCCCCCCAGCGAGGUCUGGGGCUGGUAAAAGAGCUCAAUUAAGAAAUAGAUAUGGUUUCAUCAGCAGGAUGGACAGUGAGGAAGACGUCCUAGUCCACACGUUGCUCCAGCUAGAAGAAUCCCAGUGAUGCCUCCAUGGUGCAGGGGAUGGAGAGAGCACGGCGUUUGAUGCUGUUGAGGAGAACGGGCAGAGCCAAAGCUCGCUGGCCCCGGUGGGCUCCAGGACAAGGCAGUCAAUACCCAGCAGACCCUAAUCAUUGUAGCAGCCUCCACAGGGUAGGAUCUCAUGCCGGAUUACAGUAGGAUUGCCAGAAUUAUGGGUGAGAGCAGGGACAGAAGGAGGGAUAGGGAAUGUUCCCGAGGUGGGAGCCCGCAGCGCCAGCCCCACUGCAGACUCUGUUCUCACCUGCCGCACAUGGACACCUUGUGGCCUCAGACCGGGGUGGUCCAGCCUGCCUGUGCAGGGAGAGGGGAUGGAAGGACUGACUGCCAAGGGCAGGAAGGACUGACUGCCAAGGGCAGGGAAGACCAGCGACACAACAGUGGCCUUAGAGGCCACCAUUCCGCAGGACCCGUGGCCAAGACAGAGAGGAUGGUAGUGAAGAAGGGCAGGAAAACCGAGGAGAGCAGGCCCAAGGUCAGCAGACAGCUCAGCAUCCACACCCCUGCAGAAAACCCUAAACCACAGAAUGGCAAGGAGACAAAAGCAGCUCAUUUACCAGCUGAGAAUCCAUCUGCUCCCUUCCAAGGCUGAGCGGGGUGGGCUGAGUCAUUGCCCGCCUCCCAUGGCUACCAUUGUCGGGUGUAGUCAAACAGGAAGAAGUGAAUAUGAAAUUUCAGCCAUAAGCAAUGAACAAAAAGACUGGAGGCAAAGACCUUAGUGCUUGCUUUUCCCCUGUUGGCCAGAUCACUAGAACUAUCUGCAAUCUCUGUGCAGCUUGGAGUUUUAAUUAUUUUUCUCUGAAGGCAUCUCUUUUUGGUGACAGCAUACGUGUUUUGUCAUCUUUCUUUUAAGCCUGGUUUUUCUCAAUACAUCUUUAAAGGUUUUAACAUCGUUUCACAUCUGGUUAAGAUUUUGAAGAGCAUUUUUCAUUUUAAUAAAAGUUCC